rnacentral:rRNA from 1 species
GGACGGGUGAGUAAUGCCUAGGAAUCUGCCUGGUAGUGGGGGAUAACGUCCGGAAACGGACGCUAAUACCGCAUACGUCCUACGGGAGAAAGCAGGGGACCUUCGGGCCUUGCGCUAUCAGAUGAGCCUAGGUCGGAUUAGCUAGUUGGUGGGGUAAUGGCUCACCAAGGCGACGAUCCGUAACUGGUCUGAGAGGAUGAUCAGUCACACUGGAACUGAGACACGGUCCAGACUCCUACGGGAGGCAGCAGUGGGGAAUAUUGGACAAUGGGCGAAAGCCUGAUCCAGCCAUGCCGCGUGUGUGAAGAAGGUCUUCGGAUUGUAAAGCACUUUAAGUUGGGAGGAAGGGCAGUAAAUUAAUACUUUGCUGUUUUGACGUUACCGACAGAAUAAGCACCGGCUAACUCUGUGCCAGCAGCCGCGGUAAUACAGAGGGUGCAAGCGUUAAUCGGAAUUACUGGGCGUAAAGCGCGCGUAGGUGGUUCGUUAAGUUGGAUGUGAAAUCCCCGGGCUCAACCUGGGAACUGCAUUCAAAACUGACGGGCUAGAGUAUGGUAGAGGGUGGUGGAAUUUCCUGUGUAGCGGUGAAAUGCGUAGAUAUAGGAAGGAACACCAGUGGCGAAGGCGACCACCUGGACUGAUACUGACACUGAGGUGCGAAAGCGUGGGAGCAAACAGGAUUAGAUACCCUGGUAGUCCACGCCGUAAACGAUGUCAACUAGCCGUUGGGAGCCUUGAGCUCUUAGUGGCGCAGCUAACGCAUUAAGUUGACCGCCUGGGGAGUACGGCCGCAAGGUUAAAACUCAAAUGAAUUGACGGGGGCCCGCACAAGCGGUGGAGCAUGUGGUUUAAUUCGAAGCAACGCGAAGAACCUUACCAGGCCUUGACAUCCAAUGAACUUUCUAGAGAUAGAUUGGUGCCUUCGGGAACAUUGAGACAGGUGCUGCAUGGCUGUCGUCAGCUCGUGUCGUGAGAUGUUGGGUUAAGUCCCGUAACGAGCGCAACCCUUGUCCUUAGUUACCAGCACGUCAUGGUGGGCACUCUAAGGAGACUGCCGGUGACAAACCGGAGGAAGGUGGGGAUGACGUCAAGUCAUCAUGGCCCUUACGGCCUGGGCUACACACGUGCUACAAUGGUCGGUACAGAGGGUUGCCAAGCCGCGAGGUGGAGCUAAUCCCAGAAAACCGAUCGUAGUCCGGAUCGCAGUCUGCAACUCGACUGCGUGAAGUCGGAAUCGCUAGUAAUCGCGAAUCAGAAUGUCGCGGUGAAUACGUUCCCGGGCCUUGUACACACCGCCCGUCACACCAUGGGAGUGGGUUGCACCAGAAGUAGCUAGUCUAACCU